AGCUCGGUAUCAAAAGGUCAAAAAUUACGAUCCUUGUUUUGCAGAAUCUGUAGGCUCAUUUGAAACAGAAGUUUGGGCAGACAACCUUACUCUGAAUUCUUAAAAUAAGCUAUCAAAAGAAAGGUUUAUGAGUCUAUAUUCUGAUCAAAUAAGUUUUGUCUAAAUCAAAGGUCAAUACAUGAAGUUAUAACCAUAACAAGGUAGAAAGAUCAUAAUCUCAAAAGUUGCACAGAUUCGAAUCGUUACGUCUAAACAGGAGAUAUAUCAAAUGCAAGGCUAGAACAAUUCAAAGUUCCUCAUAUUCAAAGCAAAUAUAGAGAUAAAAUUGCAGUAAGGAAAGAUCAGGACACUUGCAAUAGGAAAGAUUAGAAAGCUUGCAAUAGGAAGGAUCG
rnacentral:lncRNA from 1 species